ensembl:lncRNA
UCUCCUUGCCAGCACUUUCUAGAUUUUGCACUGCUCUGAUUUACUUUUGAAACUAUUGCAGUGGCUCCUGUAUGAUAAAUUGCUUGUGAGUUUCCUCAUUUGUAAGUCGCUUUGGAUAACAGCAUCUACUAAAUGAUUAAAUGUAAAUGAAGGACUCUUACAGUAGUGAAUGGUUAAUCAUUGCCAUCUUUCAUUAACUGAGCAUGCUGUCAUUACUGGUGGUAGCGCACAGUCUAUGUUUGCAUAACUUCAGUUCUGUUUAAUGCUUCACUGAAUCAAAACACCUGCCGUGACCUCCUCAUUCACCGCUGCUUUUACCUCCUUUAGCUCUGCACUGGAGCUCUUCCGUCCACACUGAGGUUCACUGAGAGUUUCAAAACAAAGAACAUGAACACACUGAGGUGAUCACUCCAGCAGUGCUGAUGUCCAGCAGAUGUAUAUCUUUGGCGACGGCGGUCCAGAACACUGAUUGGUUGUGACAUUGCUUCAUGGAACAAGAUGCUCAGCAGUGUGGACAGCAUGUAUGUGUGUAUGUAAGUGUUUGUGAGAAACUCUCUCUCCCCCUCUGUGUGUGUGAGAUGAGGAUGUCUUGUGAAAGGCCCAUCUGCCCUGGUGUCUGCCCACCAGUCAUACUGUCAGAGCAGGCACUGCUGCGGACGCCUAAACUCUCUGUGACAAGGACCCCUAGAGUGCAGAGUGCCACCCAGCAUAAACAACACUGGCACCGCUCUCGCAUGUGACAGCCUGCGCGUGCAAUUCGUUGAUGCGCUGUGUCUUUUUACCUCUUCAGUGAUAUUCGGUUUUUAGAAUAAUUUCUACUUAAAAAAAUAAAUCAUCACAUAAUCAAUUUGUAGCUAUUAAAAAGACUUUCUAGUUUUAACAGAGCUAUAUCAUUGUGUAAAUCAGUUUGUACUGUUAAUUAUUUUAAGUCACCUUGGAUAAAACCGUCUGCUAAAUGAACAGAAUUUUGAUUUCCAAUUGAAACAUUCGACUGCCAACAAAUUCAGCUUCCUAUUCAAUGAAACUGAUCAAAGAUAUGUGUAAUCAACACUGGGAUGCUAGUUAAUGCCUCAAUAGAUGUUCAUAUUAAUUUUAGUGAAAAAAGUGAAAGUGAUGUGACAUACAGUCAAGUAUGGUGACCCAUACUCAGAAUUUGUGUAACCCACCCAAAGUGCACACACACAGCAGUGAACACACACACACCGUGAACACACACCCGGAGCAGUGGGCAGCCAUUUAUGCUGCGGCGCCCGGGGAAUAGAAACGUAUUUUAUUUUAACUCGUUUGGUUUUUUUUUUCAAUUUUUAUUUUAAAUGUUACUUAUGUUUUUAUUAUAUAUCUUAUGAACAUUUUUUAUAAUGUCUAUAAUUUAAAUAUUUUAAAGCACAAAUGUGUAUGCUAUAUUAAUAAUAAUUAAUAAGCUUGUUUACCUCUUUUUUGAUUCACAAAAAAAAUAAAAUAAGAUUACUAACCUUUUCUACAUGAAGUUAUAUUCAACUUUACAACUGUUUACAUGUUUUCACAGAAGAAUGAAAAUACCUGCUUUUAUAAAAUCAUGUUUUAUAUUUCUGCUUUUAAAAUC